ensembl:lncRNA
GUUAACACAAGGGUUAAGGGUUAGCACAAGGGUUAAGGGUUAACACAAGGGUUAAGGGUUAGCACACGGGUUAAGGGUUAGCACAAGGAUUAAGGGUUAACACAAGGGUUAGGGGUUAACACAAGGGUUAAGGGUUAACACAAGGGUUAAGGGUUAGCACACGGGUUAAGGGUUAGCACAAGGGUUAAGGGUUAGCACAAGGGUUAAGGGUUAACACAAGGGUUAAGGGUUAGCACAAGGGUUAAGGGUUAGCACAAGGGUUAAGGGUUAGCACAAGGGUUAAGGGUUAACACAAGGGUUAAGGGUUAGCACAGGGGUUUAGGGUUAACACAAGGGUUAAGGGUUAGCACAAGGGUUAAGGGCUAGUACAAGGGUUAAGGGUUAACACAAGGGUUAAGGGUUAACACAAGGGUUAAGGGUUAACACAAGGGUUAAGGGUUAACAUAAGGAUUAGCACAAGGUUAAGGGUUAGCACAAGGGUUAAGGGUUAACACAAGGGUUAAGGGUUAGCCCAUGGGUUAACACAGGGGUUAACACAAGGGUUAAGGGUUAACACAAGGGUUAAGGAUUAACACAAGGGUUAAGGGUUAGUACAAGGGUUUAGGGUUAACACAAGGGUUAAGGGUUAACACAAGGGUUAAGGGUUAACAUAAGGGUUAGCACAAGGUUAAGGGUUAGCACAAGGGUUAAGGGUUAACACAAGGGUUAAGGGUUAACACAAGGAUUAAGGGUUAACACAAGGGUUAAGGGUUAGCACAAGGAUUAACUCCCCUAUUACAUGUGCUUCUUUUGUUUGCUCGUGAAGGAAAGACAAACCUCUGACAAAUGGCCAAAUCACUGUUUACGGCUUCAUUUCAGUAUAUGUGCAUGAAAUGUGUGUAGAUUAUUUUUAAUUAAUCUGAUUAAUCUGAAUCCAUUAUGUGGGUUUCUUGUGAGGAUUGACUCAACCUUUUGACAAAUGGCCUUGCUUGCUCUCUACAAGGAUGCACACCUUGUAUCCAGUAAAUAUUGAGUAUAUGUGACCGACCGGCUCGAUUCGGUCUUAUGUAGCAAAAUUUGAAAUUGUGUUUUUUUUACAGACUCAGAGCUAGAACAUAGUAUAUCACACACUACAGUUGAGGAACAAUGGGAAAGUAACUCUGUUUUGAAAGUUGAUUAAACUUGUUACCCCACUUUUGAGAAAAAUGGUCCUUGAAUGUUUUGGUUCACCUACUGGAGAACUCUUCAUUGUCUUUGGGGCUCCCAAGUGGCGCAGCAGUCUAAUGCAUUGCAUCUCAGUUAUAGAGGCGUCACUACACCGUCUUAAGCCUUAGCCCCACCCAUCUGUUUAAGGAUUCAC